CUUUCCGAAAGAUAUUGAGUGAUUAAACACAUACGAGAUAUACUUGCAAUGAAUGAACUGUAUUGGAGCAGCCUCCCGGGACUGCCCAAAAAACUAAAAUGGCCUGUGAAGGUUACAGACUGGGGUGGGGGUGGGGACAUUAUAACGGUCUACUGCCGAAGUGAUGAUGCAGUUUGCUCUUAAAAAUAGAAAGGGAACGCUACAGGCAUUUAAAGAUGACAUCAAAUGGGCACAAGAUGACAUCAAAUGGGCACAAGGCACGUAUAAAUAUUAAGCUUUUUAUUAAUGCGUCUUCAACAAGUUCUUUAAAGGAUAU